CAGGAUUCCCCUAGUAACUGCGAGUGAAGCGGGAAAAGCUCAAAUUUUGAAUCUGACGAUCUUCUGGGUCGUUCGAGUUGUAAUCUAGAGAAGCGUCUUCCGCGCUGGACCGUGUACAAGUCUCCUGGAAGGGAGCGUCAUAGAGGGUGAGAAUCCCGUCUCUGACACGGACUCCCAGUGCUGUGUGAUGCGCUCUCGACGAGUCGAGUUGUUUGGGAAUGCAGCUCAAAAUGGGUGGUAAAUUCCAUCUAAAGCUAAAUACAGGCGAGAGACCGAUAGCGAACAAGUACCGUGAGGGAAAGAUGAAAAGAACUUUGGAAAGAGAGUUAAACAGUACGUGAAAUUGCUGAAAGGGAAACGCUUGACGUCAGUCACGUCCGCCAGGGAUCAACCUUGCUUCACAAGAGCUGGGCGCAUUUCUUGGUCGGACGGGUCAGCAUCAGUCUCGAUCAUCGUAGAAUGGCAAAGGGAACGUGGCACCUCUAGGGGUGUGUUAUAGCCCUCGGUCGUAUGCGUUGGCAGGGACUGAGGAACUCGGCACGAUCGUUCUCGGUCUGUGUCUAGGAUGCUGGCAUAAUGGCCUUAAGCGACCCGUCUUGAAACACGGACCAAGGAGUCUAACAUGCCUGCGAGUGUUUGGGUGCAAAACUCGAGCGCGCAAUGAAAGUGAAAGUCGAGAUCUCUGUCAUGGAGAGCAUCGACGCCCGGACCUGAGUCCUUGACAAAGGAUCUGCGGUAGAGCAUGUAUGUUGGGACCCGAAAGAUGGUGAACUAUGCCUGAAUAGGGUGAAGCCAGAGGAAACUCUGGUGGAGGCUCGUA
rnacentral:rRNA from 1 species